UCGCGCAAAGGAUACUCAUCUUUUAUGCGAUACAAACUUUAACCGGAUGCUUUGGAUAUCACAUCAGAAUCUAUAUAAACUUAUGCAAGCUUAUCACUGCGCAAUUGAAAGAGUGUUCUGAGAUGAGAAAUGCCAAGAAAAUUAAAAUAGAUCUCUCGUCGUCAUAAAAUCCACAUUGGUGAUCGUGUCAGAGCAUGUAAUUCACGACAUCCUUAAGGAAUUGACUUGAUUUCCUCGAAACAAAAUGUUGCUUGCUGUUGAGUCAACCGUAUCUGAAAUAUGCCACUCUUGGAAUGAGGUUUCGUUGAAAUAAGUUAAAAAUAUACAAUUGCAAAUACGUUGAUUUAACGUAUUCUCUUCUUAAAAACGAUAAUCUUCUCAAACUAUAUUAUUCUUUCUUUAGAUGAAGGCCGAUAAUAAUAAAAAGAUUUCUAUUUUAGAAACUUCUUCAAAUAAGCUUGUUAUAAAUCUCACGAGCAAUAAGUGCUAGAAAUAGAAAUGAAAUACAGUGAUUUUCUUUUAUAAUAUAAUGAUGGUGCAAAAAGAAAUAGUGGAACGAAAGGCAAAAGAGGCAAAAGAAAAAUAUGCCACCUCCACCAACUUGAAAGCGUGAUGCUAUACCUUGUAUAAUCUCAUAAUUAUCUCAGCCAAAAUCGCAAAAUCAUCAUCGGUAACAGAUAAACGUUUAUGUCGAUAAGAAAAGCGAUUCGAAGAAAUAACAGUCAUGUAAUCUCAACAUCAAAAGAGUAUAAAUAAAGGAGAUUAUAAGAAGAGAUCAUUAUUCUAAAAGAAUAGAUAAACUUCGGAAUCGAUUAGCUUUGUAUUCGAUUGUCGAUAAGUGCUGAUAAGUGGUAUAUUUAAGAAAAUUAUGAAAAAAGAAAACUCGUCAUCUUGUAUCCUCAAGAUAUUAUCAUAACCAAUGAUGGAAUUAACAAAACUAAAGUUAUUAUUUCUUCGAAUAAAUCAGAAUCAACAUCAACAUCAAUAAACGAAACUCAUCCAAUUAUUAAAAUAUAUUAAAAUAAAGUUUGAAAAAAAGUCUAAAAAACAAUGUGUAAAAUUAACACAAACAAUAACAUAUUUUGGAGAUUUGAAUCACUAAUAAUAUCCGAAUAGAAUCAAAUUGACAAUUGGAAACAGAGAGCAGAAUGCAACAUCCAGUAACCAGUAAAAUAAAUGUUAUUAAUUUCUAAAUCUCUUUUUAAAAUAAAUCUGUUCAUUUACAUAUACUUUAAUUUGAAUUUCAAAAAAAUUCACGAUAGAAGACAAAUUAAAAUCCUUAUAAUUAAUAUCAUUAAUAAAACAUGAAAUCAAGGAUUUCAAACGAUUUUAUAAAAAAUUUACUAGUCUGGUACUAGUCAUUGGUACAUCAGUGACUGCUGAUGCAUUUAUAAUCGGAUACAUAAUAAAAAUUUAAC